rnacentral:misc_RNA from 1 species
GAUGAAGAACGUAGCGAAAUGCGAUAAGUAAUGUGAAUUGCAGAAUUCAGUGAAUCAUCGAAUCUUUGAACGCGCAUUGCGCCCCUUGGUAUUCCGGGGGGCAUGCCUCUUCCAGCGUCAUUUCACCCCUCAAGCUCUGCUUGGUUUUGGGCCGCGCCGGCAACGGCGGGCCUCGAAAAUAGUGGCGACGCCAUCGUGCUCUCAGCGUAGUAAUUCUUCUCGCUGUUGGGUCCCGGUGGUCGUCCGCCAGCAACCCCCAACUUUCUUAAGUUUGACCUGGGAUGAGGUAGGGAUACCCGCUGAACUUAAGCAUAUCAAUAAGCGGAGGA